ACGAUGGUAUAAAUCAAUAAAAAACUGAAAAUUUGAAAUAAACUUAUUUUUUGACUCCUUGGUUGUAAAUGGGUUAAUAUACUCAGUUCAAGGUAUUAAAAGGCUGAAUUUCUUUUUAUGUACAUAUGUAUGUAUGUAUACGCAAACAACGUGAAACUACUGUCAACAAGCGAUGCAAAAACACUAGGGUGACUAACAUCAAACUCAAAUGAAAGCAGAUAAGCGUGAAGUGAAAGGUCGUGAAGCGUGCUAGUCAAUAUUCAUACGAUUGUUUUCACACAGGCACAAUAAGAAAUCUGAGAUGAUGAUAUCAUCAACGUUUCAUUAUAUUUAUCUCCGAUCAUUACAAUUAACGACAAUCCGACCACCACUACUUCGCACUAUUUGAUGACAGCAGUCAAAGGAGAGCUACUGCUGUGAAAGGAAACUAUAACUUAGGGGAUAAUCAGACAAUAGGCAUUAGCGUGGAUAGUGCUCGUGAUUCUGUGAUACAUGUAUAGUAUGUGCUAUUAGGGUGUGUCAUUCUGAGGCAACCUUUUUUUUUCAACUGAAAAACAGGCUCAAAACUUUCGAAAAUGUGUAAAAAAAGUCACUCAAAAGAUGAGCUCUUAAUAUUAAUAUUAAGACGUGCCUAUUUUAAAUUUUCUGUUUUCCAUAUAAAUUACAUGGAAAAAAUAAUGUUUUUUUGUGGUGGUUAUUGUGCGGAGGUUUUAUAUGUGCCGCGAUGGCUGCCAGUAGGGAUGGUAAACUCGAUUCCGAUUUUACUCGAAAAUCGAGUUUUCUCGUAAAAUAAUCGAUUUUAUUAGGAGCUCAUCUCUUGAGUGACUUUUUUUUACACAUUUUCGAAAGUUUUGAGCCUGUUUUUCAGAUGAAAAAAAGGUUGCCUCAGAAUGGCACACCCUAAUGUGCUAUUGUACAUAGAAUGUGCUGCUGUCAAUAAACUUUCGAAUGGAUUUCGAUAUACAAUGGUUUCAAACAAUAUGGACCAGACAAAUAUGGAUAUGGUUCUUCCAUAAACAUUAUCUUUAUUGAAAAUGUGGGAAUUAUGUGACGAUGCACUCUAUUAAAAAUGCAUGGAAUCACCACAUUCCAAAUAUUUAAAACAAAAAAAUGAAAUUGAACGUGUGUUUACGCUCUUUGAAAAUAAGUUCUUUGGCGAAAUGAUAAAAUUCAAAGCAGGGCUCAGAGAAUGGAGAAGUAUUGUGGUCACUACAUGAUGAAGAGGGACAAACAGAGGCGUUGCCAAGGACUAGGUUGUAAAAAAAACCUCUUACUUUUUGUGUCAAAAGCGAUAAAAUACUUUGCAGUGAUUGUUUUAUACCUUAUCACAAAAAACAAGCUUAAAUACGAUGAUGAUUUUAAUAAAUUUGAUUUUUUUUAUAAGCGUUAUCUUUAAUUUUUUCUGAGCAUAUAUCCCCAGUGUCCUAUUUAUAUGACGGGCUGAUUCAUCAAUCAAGGAAACAUACUACCUGGCGCGAAAAUAUGAAAAAAAAAUCUUACAGGCAAAUUAUUUUCACGCUGGACAAACGUAAAUAACGCUGGUUUCACAUCAAAACUUGUUUUAGAAGAGUUGGAGCCCAUUUCAUCAAUUUCCUCUGAAGGCAAUAUGGGUGGUCCGAACCCAAAACGAAUUAAAAAGACUUGCUACAAUCAAGUAUAUACAGAAAAGGCAUGUAAAUGCGAAGAUAAGGAAGCUUUAAAGGCUUUCUUCGAAGGUAAAGUAUAAGCUGCCAACAAGUAUAUUCCUCUUUUCAUUCAUAUAUAUUUUUUAUUUCUAGAACUGAUGGAAAGAAAAAUGAGCCAAAUUUCUGCACAGUACCAAGUGCUCCUAGAAGAAGUAGCGCAGCAGAAAGUCCUCAUUCAGCAGCUUCUGAAAGAACGCACCGACGACUCAUCGAUAAUGAGAGAAUUUCCAAUUAAAAACAAAACAGAUUUGGGCAGAACUAAUGAAAAUAUAGAAGUUCGCGGAAAGAAGAACUACAUCAAAUGUAUGACUCAAAUUCUCCAGGGUUCUGGAGUGGUGAAAAACCUGAAGAAUAUUAUAACAGACGAAUUGGCCAUGCAGUACAAUAUUGAUGGAGUGUUGGGCAAAGAUUCGCUCAAAAGCUUUACAAAUUUUUUCGACGCCCUUAUUGAGUCCAUUCCUACCGGGAUAGACGCUGGAUCGCCAGAGAAUCAACUGCGCCAAGCCCUUCAGCGUCAAAAAAAACGCGUAAUAAAAAAAAAUCAUUUAGUAAAUAAAGAAAAUAAAUGAUUAAUAAAUAACAAUAUAAUGUAAGAAUUAUUAAGAAUAUUUGAAUUUAAUAAAUCUAUUGCUUUGAAUUUCAUAAAAAUUUCUUUUAUUUUCGUAAAAUUGAACCAGUAAAAUCGCUAGCGAGUUAGAAUAAAUGAAAUCGCUAACGAUUUUGAAUUAGUCAAACCACCUGUAAUUUCGAAUUAACGAAAUCACUAACGAUUUGGAGUCAGUCAAAUCACUAGCCAUUUUGAAUUAAUGAAAACGCUAGCGAUUCUGUAUUAGCUAUUCACUAACGAUUUUGGAACUAGUCAUUUCACCAAUGACUGGUAAUGCAGCGUCGCACCGCUCGAUUACUCUCGUAGGACAUUGCAAUGUAAAAAUCGUUAGUCAAAUAACAUUGCGAGUAAUCGGGCUGGAACUGGUUCUAAUGAUUAGGAAUUAGUCAUAUCGUUAGCUCUUCCCCGAUGGUACCGAACUACAGGGGAUAUAUACUUAUAAUGUGGGUUAUAUGAAUUAGGUACAAAUAUAAUUCUAAUAUUACUUAAAGGGUAAUUUAUAAGUAUAAUACAAUACAAAAUUCAAAUAAAACCUGAUGUGGUUACUAAUUCCCGCGUUGAUUUUCAAAGGUUCUGCUGCUGUUGUUGCUGCUAAUACUGCUGUGGUUAUUAUUGCUGCUGAUAUUGCUGCUGUGGUUGUUAUUGCUGCUGAUAUUGCUGCUGCUUUUGGCGCCUGAAUGUCCGUCCGCUCUGGUGAUUUGUUUUAUUGUGUUAUUCUGUUUGUUGGGUGCUUCGCUGUUAUGUUGGCGCUGUUGGGUGUUUUUUGCAUUGUCUUCUAAUUCGUAUUUAGACGAGUUAGGAGGACAAUGCAGGGAUGUGUUCAUUUGGUAUGAACACCUUUCAUGCCCGAUGUUGCCUAUAGGCAACAUUUACAUAAUCUGGUGUAUUGUGUAAGCUUACAGUGAAUUGUUCUAUCGUAAGCUAUGCAAGGGUUCAUUCAGUAGACAUUUUUCGUAGAGCGAAAUCGUCAAGAUGUACAAGGGAACAAGUAAUGAUGUAUUGGAAACAGAUAUUGCGGACGAGAAUUUCGGAAAUUAGGGAAAUCUCUUCUUUAAAUGGCAUUUUUUUGGAAUGGCCACGGUAUAAUAACUAGUCUUAAACUUUCAACCUCUGCGAAAUAUAAUUUCCCUUCAUUCAUAUUAGAUCGAAAUAACCCAGGCAAAGGGAACUAUUAUUCUUAAAAUUGGAAUAUCUCUAUAAAAAAGUAUUGGAUAUAUUUGAAAAAUAAGUAAAGUAUCGUCCUUCCAUAGAAUUGUACUUAAAACACUUAUACAACAAAGAAAUUUCAAAUGAUACUAAAUAUUGCAUUACUACAAUUCUGCUUCAUGAUUUGCUACCUCCUACACGUUUACAAAACCGAUAAACUUACAAUAACCGAUGCUCGAAAUGACUUUGUCACUACCGUUGCAACACCAAAUGAUAUUCAGCCUAAAGUUAUGGAAAUAAUUAAUCGUUUUUCUGAAAGAAAAGAAAAAUAUCAACGUAGAAUUAUCGCCGUUGGAACGGACAUUUGUGGAAUUUAUUACAGUUUUCCAAGUAUCCCACGUUUUCAAAUAAGUAGACUGGCAAACAAGUUUGCUGCAGGGUUUGUUAAAACGAGCGAUGUUCGUGACUAUGGAAUUAAUGCUUCACUCAUA